rnacentral:lncRNA from 1 species
GGGGACCCCUGGAACUGAUUUCCCACAUGUAUUGACAAACUCCUGUUCUCUAUGAGGAUCAUAAGGAUGGUGUGCUAUGUGACCUUUGGAGGAGAGGCUGUGGCACAGCUUCUGCCUGAGCCCUGGUGGCAGAGCCCUCCCUGUCACUCAUUCCCCCCUGACACUUCCUGUCACUGUUGCAUUGUGACAGCAUCUUCACCACACCCUCUGUCUGUUUCUAUGAGGCUGACAUUGUUCCCACUUGUUCAUCCGUUUCCUCCAAAAGGAAAGGAAGUCAGACACACUGACGCCUGCUGUGUGCUGUCCACCUGGGAAGGCGGAGGCCAAAGGCCCCCUCUUGCCCCCUACCACCCAACUCACUAUCUAAUGGGGCAGAGGAGGCCCUGCCACAAGAGAACAGAGCACUGUCACAGAGGAGCACGUGUGCUGUGUGACUCAGAGGGGACUCAGCCCUUGUGCCCAGGGUCUUUGGGGAGUGCCUCAUAGCUGCUUUGAAGUGUCUUGAGGAAUCUGUAGGAAUUAUCCCAACAAAGGACAGGAGAAGGGCCCACCAGGCAGAGAGCAGCAGCUACAAAGGCUCAGGGACUGUGUGGCCCUGGCCUGCGUGCAAAAUAGGCAGAUGGUUGAGCGUGGGGUGGGAGUGUCUCUCCACAUCUGCAGUGGGGAGCAGAGGGUGGUGAGGACAUGUGGGGCCCUCUGUCCUCACAGCCACUCAGUGUUGUACCCUGCCAGCCUGAGACCAGAGUGUUGCUGAUGCUAGUGACCUGCAUGGCUCACCCUCUGCCACAUGUCUUGGGCUUAGGAGAGGUUGGUGACUGGGUGCAAGGCACUGGGUGGUCCACGUGCCGGCAGGAGUGUGGAGAUGGGGUUGCACUCUGGCCUUGGCAGGGAGAGGAGGCCGGGUGGGCCUAUCCCGGGAAAGCCAUUGGGGAGACCUCCCUUAGCCAGAGCCAAGCUGCAUCAGGAGGAGGUUCAGGAUGAGGAGUUUGGGAGCACUGGGCACCGGAGCACUCCAAGUCUUUGUUCCCUGGCCCCGCUGUCUCCCAGUGAGAAUAAGCCGGGGUACAGGACCCAGGGGAGCUGCCCUUCCCGCCAUCAGGGGGGCUUGAGGCAUCCUGGUAGUCUCCAGGUCUUUCCUGAUGCCAGGCUGUUCUUGGUCGUCUCUCAGCACCCCUCAGUUUGUCUGAAAAUUUGGAACAGCAAGGUCUUUCGUUAUUGGCUCAGGAUGGCUCUGCCCAUCGGGUCUGUGAAGGUUCCUCCUGAGGUUGAUUCCCUUGGACUGCAGGAGGAGUUGAGGCCCACGGGACUUUCCAUGCUGCCUGGGCCCGUGUGCAUCCCAGAGCAAAUCUGGAGUCUCACAAAAAGGAAUAGGCAUAGCAUCAGACUGCCUGGGAAUAGGAAUGCUGGCCUCCUCCCAAGAUGGGUCCCUGACUCAAGCCCUCACCUCCCAAGUCAUCCAGAAGACUGAAUCCAUGGAGGCUGGGAAGGGCAAAGAUGGAGCGAGAAUACUUAACUGGGCCUGUAGCCAGGGCAUGACCCUCUGUGUUUCUCCUACCACCACAGGAGUCUGGGACGAGCAAAAGCCCUAGAGGUUUCUCCUGAGUUAGUACAUUCACUGUUGCCAUAUGCCCCAAAGCAUCAUCUGCUUUCAGGUGGCAUGCCACCAGCUCGCAUGGCCUAUGGUUUACAGUGCACAUAGCUAGUAGUACAGGUGAGUAGAGCAAUGAUGUCUGCGUCCAUCCAGUUCACACUGAAUCACUCCAAAUAGCAAAGCACCUGACACUUGAUAGAUGCUUCUGGAUGUUGGAUGAACAAGGAAGCGCAAAGACCCUGCAGCGGCUGCUGGUCCUCAGUAGCCUUCAUCCUAAGUAUAACUCAUUAACAGGAUGGGGGAUUUGCUCAUCCUUUUGGGAAAGUUCAUUUGACUCCAAGUUAAGUCUGAUCUACAGCUCAAUAAAGAAGACACUGUCCCAAUCAGCAAGGGUAAAAGCUGACCUGUUUAUUGGGCAGAAGUGUGGCAAAUGCAUCAGGAUCCAAUUAGAACAGAAGAGAAAAACACUGACUCUCUACAGGUUCCAUCUUCAACAGCAAAGCUAUGGAGUGACACAAACCUGUGUUAAAACAUGUAAUUUUCAUGGAUUUUUAUCUCCUGUUGUGGAUCAAUUUGGAAAAACCAAAAUAUAUAAUUUUAAAAAACUAAAACACAUUCUGAUAAUCCCAGUGAUGUGUAAAUGAGGGAGAAGAAUAGACAGACUCCCAAAUCCUGGGAAGAAAGCUGCUUAAUUAUGUGAGCAUCUUAUAAUGAAGCUUCUUGCAGCUAAAAUUAGAUUUUGAGUGCAUGAAUAUGUGAUAAUGUUUGCACAUCAGAAUGCAGUUUUUCCUCUUAAAAGUAGCAAGAGCUACUUGGUUCUGAGGAGGCCUCACAGGGGGGGAAGGAAGUGUUGAAGUUGACCCUUAUGAUGGCAAGAAUCCUUGGGGGCCCAGGUUUGUUUUCUUCUGACCUGGAAACUUAGUGAAGGCGUUUGAAAGUCAGUGAUUCCAAAGAUGUUCAUGAGGGUUAGGGAGAAAUCAGUUGGUCUGACCUCACACUGGUCCUCAAUCGUGGGUGCAUUGGCCUGAACAAGAGAAAAGUGGGAUGGGAAUAGCAGAGAGCCUGUGAUGGCCAGACUGGGUUGUGGUUCUCAGCUCUGCUGCCAUCUUGAACAAGGCCAUCUCUGUUCCAUUUCAGUCUCUCACCCACAAACCGAGGGAUAUGGUAGAUAUUGGUUGCAUCCCCAGUAUCCAUUCUCCAUUUUCUCGUUUAUGCUGUUGCCCCAUGUGAUCUGGUAGAGCUGUCUCUCACCACUUUGGGGGAGGAACACUUGACUUGGGAUAAGCCAACAGCACAUUCCAUCUCCCAGGCUGAAGAACAGGUCCAGAUGUGACCAGGUGAGCUAAGUCUAUGCCGCCAGAGGGAAUUCUGAGAUGUUUCUGGGAAUGUUGGGUAGCAACCUGCUGGGUGGGAAGAAGGAAGCAGGUAAUCUUGGGUUGAAAUGGUGCCAUCGUGAGGAAUCACUCUCAGCCUGGGAAGUUGGCAGUACAGGAGGGAGAGUCCAAGAAGCGGAAAUAAACCAGUCCUUGGUGACACUGUUCACGUCCAGGGUCAAACCUUGCCUGAGAGUGGCCCUACCUCUGGACUUUUUUGAUACAUGAUCCAAUAAAGUCUCUUUAUUGUUUAAGUGGGGUUGAGUUGGGCUUCUGUUGUUC